rnacentral:rRNA from 1 species
UUCCGGUUGAUCCUGCCGGAAGCUACUGCUAUCGGAAUUCGAUUAAGCCAUGCGAGUCGAGAGGGUUCGGCCCUCGGCUGACGGCUCAGUAACACGUGGAUAACCUGCCCUCAGGUAGGGGAUAAUCUCGGGAAACUGAGGAUAAUACCCUAUAAGCAUCCUCUGCUGGAAUGCUUGGAUGUUCAAAGGCAACGCCUGAGGAUGGGUCUGCGGCCUAUCAGGUUGUAGUGGGUGUAACGGACCCACUAGCCCGCGACGGGUACGGGCCUUGAAAGAGGUAGCCCGGAGAUGGACUCUGAGACACGAGUCCAGGCCCUACGGGGCGCAGCAGGCGCGAAAACUUCGCAAUGCGGGAAACCGUGACGAGGGAAUUCCGAGUGCUCAUACAAUGUAUGGGCUUUUCUUAUGUGUAAAAAGCAUGAGGAAUAAGGGCUGGGUAAGACCGGUGCCAGCCGCCGCGGUAAUACCGGCAGCUCGAGUGGUAGCCACUUUUAUUGGGCCUAAAGCGUCCGUAGCCGGUCAGGUAAAUCCUUGGGUAAAUCGUACAGCUUAACUGUGCGGCUUCCGGGGAGACUGCUUGACUUGGGACCGGGAGAGGUUGGAGGUACUCCUGGGGUAGGGGUGAAA